UCUGAGUACUAUCUAAUAGUUAAAACUUUCAACAACGGAUCUCUUGGUUCUGGCAUCGAUGAAGAACGCAGCGAAAUGCGAUAAGUAAUGUGAAUUGCAGAAUUCAGUGAAUCAUCGAAUCUUUGAACGCACAUUGCGCUCCCUGGUAUUCCGGGGAGCAUGCCUGUUCGAGCGUCAUUACAACCCUCAAGCUUUGCUUGGUGUUGGGCU
rnacentral:rRNA from 1 species